rnacentral:misc_RNA from 1 species
CAGGGACUCGCAAGGACUCCUACAACCCUGUGAAACUUCACUACAAGCACGUUUGCCUUCGGCGGGUGUCCUCGGCGGAGGUUCCCCCACUGGGGGACCUGCGCAGGGGGCGCGAAGCCCCGCCGGCAAGCCUACUAUACUCUGUCCUCUUUGCGUUGGCAUCUCGAGAAAAAAGCAAACAAGUUAA